CCCUUCUCUCUUUUUUUUUUUUUCACAUCAAUGACUAGAUUACAAAAACGUUCAUAUCAAAGAACCCUGCCUAAAUACUGUGCGCCUCGCAAUGAUGCAAAGAAUGCCUCCUCUAUACGAUGUAAUGAAGCCGCACCAGCAAAAAGGUCGACCAUUCCAUCACUUGAAGAGAGGAUUUCCGAAGCAUUCUAAAGUGCCAACAAUUGAGACUUGUGAUCAAUGCCAUUGAAUAUGAAAGUCCCAGAAAUAGGAACAAAUUGUCUUGUUAUUAGCUUGAUCACUUCUUGUGAUGCAACUCCCCCUAUGAAGGCUGCUACUGCAUGGAGCUCUGAAGCACCAAACCGGCACAUUUCAUUUAUAAGGUCCUCUGUCAAGGGUGAUCCGUUGCAACCCAAGUCACUCAGGAGACCAACAGCUGUAGUUUUUAGUCGAGAUAUAUCCUCAUCCAUUUCCCCAUCAAAUUGCCCUGGAAAACUGUUAUAAUUAGCAGUAAAACGGUCAACAGCUCGCAGCAAAAUAUAAAAGCCCAUGGCCACACUGUAAUCCUCAUCAGUUAAAUACUUCUGCAACUGCGGAAGGGAAGGAUUGCUGAACUCAUCCUCAAGAAGGCGAUACCUGCAAACCUUUAGUUUUCUAGCAUUUUUGCAGAAGCUUUUUAUCAUUGUCUUUGAGAUGCCAUCAGGAUCUCUACCAAUUUUCUUCAGUAUAUUCUUCACCCUUUGCUCUAUAAUAAGAUAAUCAGCCUCAGCUUUUGCUUGGUAGAUCUUCUGCAAAUUUACAUAGAGCUCAGUUGAAGAUGUCAUAUCUGGUAUUGAACCCUCAAGCGGUGCCUCCCCACCACCUUCAUUAACAAUAAACUCCUUUAAAGCAGCUAGCAUCACCCAAAAUUGUGAAGAAUUAGAAUCAACUUCAGUACAGCUAUCACUAAUUAUCUGCUGCAGAUCCGGACUAAUUCCUCGAGGAGCAAAUACUUUAAAGGAGGCCUCUAUGGCUUCUUUAUAGUUGUCUUCAUCCGUUGCAACCAUCCCAGCUUUGAGAAGCUCCUUGAACUGUUUUUUCUCAUCCCUAGUUGAUGGAAGGCUACCACCAUGAGUUUUGGCCCACUCCUCAGCCAUCUUGACAAGGAUAAUUACAUAUGGAGUGUGCUUAUGUGCAACAGGAUCUGCCACAUUUAAGUCAAUUGUUUCUGCAAAACUUUUGAGCUCAGGCCAUGGGUUAUUCAACCGAAGAUCAUCCAAAAAAUGAUCAGGCUUUGACUCGAUCACUGUAUGUUCCUUUACACUGACUCUAACAAACCCAGUAAGGCCAUAGGAGCGUGCAAAAAUCAACUUCACAUUGGCCUCCCUACAGAUUUUAUCAAGCUUAACCAUUGAAUCUUCCACCAGCUGAGUCGCUGCUACUAAUGUAAACUGAGAAAAAAAGGACGGAUUUGUCUCGAUUAAUGCCUCAGGGUGCUCUUCUAUAAACUUGGCUUUAACAGCAUCAUUUAGCUCUUGAAGAAAUGCACACACACACUUUGCUUUUGAUUGCCCCACACUUGAUUCAUCCACCAUGAAAUUAUUUCCAAGAUCACUGACUUCAACUUUAGAUCCAUCAAUCACUGUAAUCGAUCCAACCCCACCAAGAACAAGAUUUUUUAAUGUCUCAGAACCCGUAGGACCACAAUUAAGCAAGCAUAUACUGGCUUUCUCUAGGGCUGCUUGUCCUUGCUCUCCCCAUAUCCUGAGUUGGCGAUCGUAUUUGGUUUUUGGUUC
rnacentral:misc_RNA from 1 species